GGAACUGGAAGCAGGAGAAAAGUCAGCUGGCCGCUAAAUAGGGAGGAUCCCAUUUCUGUGCCUAAAGUGGGGGUGGGUGGGUCAAAGAGAAAGCCAAGUCAGCUGCUUGGCAUGAAUAGGGGAGCCCUCGCCCAUCUGCCUGCAGGGAAGAAGAGACAGCGCAUUGACACAGAGCUGGGAUCUGGGACAGCCGGACUGAACAGUCAUCCCUGUGACACUGGAAGGUGAACAACGAAGUAUCCGGCUUGUGGAGCAGGUGGCUGACGCCUGUGUGGCACGUUUGCACCCUCACCUUUUCACCUUCUGUGGCCCGCAGUUGCGUCAUCCCCACUGCCUGACGAGAGGCCAGUCUGCUUAGGUUGAGGAGAGAAGGAGUUAAGUCAGACAAUCAUGGGGCUGCCUUGCCGGUGGAAAAGAGCCCCUACCCUCCACACAAAUCAUCUGGUAAUAGGUUUACUGGAGUGGCCCUGGAGGUUGAGCUAAGCAGCUUUAUGGCAGAGAACACCCGAGCAACGAGGACGUGCAUGCAGCACAUGGAGGAAGGCUUCCCAGCUUGUCCACUAAAUCUUUCCCAAACAUAAAGGCCUCUGUGUAAUCUGCUGAGAGGAUAAAAGCUGCAGGGUGGCCACUGGGCUGGUGACAUCGUUUCACAAA